UACUCUGUGCCUGCAAAGGUGAUUUUUAUGUAGGUUUUCCUUUAUAUUGUUACGUCUUGAAUUAGUCGUAUUUUUCAAUCGUAAAGGAAAAUACAGCCGUCUAAAGAUUUGGGCCAGCCCGAGCCCCAGGGAUUAAUGGGCCGGGUUUGGGUCCAUUGUCAUCUGCCUUUCCUGUGCACAUGGCACUUGUUGGCGGUCAUUCCGGAAAAUUCAAACCUCUUGAGUGACUUCCUUUUGCGAGCUUGUAUGUGCGGGGCCAAAAACUAGGGUUCCGUAGAUCGCCUGAAACUUCGCUUCUAUCAUGGCCUCGGAUUCGCAUCGAUCAGUUUUUUUCUUCAAAGAAAAGGAAACUGCUAUCUCCUGGUUUGAAGACUGGAAGAAUCGAAAAAGAUUCAAAAAGAGCAGUCGAUGGUUCUCCCAGUAGCAAGGGCACCUUAGACAACUAUUUGGUAACUUCUCCGGAUGAUAAUUCCACUGCUCGUGGUUCAUCAGCAGGAAAAGGCCCAGUUAAAAGAAAUUUGACAUUGGAGAUUAAUUUGCCUUCUAAAGAUGAAAAUGAAAAUGCCCUUUUAUCAGGCCAAUUUGGAGAAACUCAUACGGAAAAUUCCCGGGGUUUAUCUCAGAUGGGUGGUGUUGGAGUUGGAGAGCAAUUGAAGGAUUGCUCAGUCUCUGCACAUGGUCCCGUGAACUCGGUACUGAAAUAGUGCCACAGAAGCAAAGCUUUUUUGUUUUGUUUUUUAGUCUCUUUUGUUUUCUUGUCACGAGGAAACCCUUGAUAAUGACUCAUCCUACAAACAUGUCACGUUUUUCUAUUUUUGUUGUAAUAAAAGAAGAUGCAAUGGCUUUGAUGGCAA